UUCAAUACGAGUCACGACAACUGUCACGUCAGCGUCUUCUCGAAGAGUUUGAACUUAUUUUUUCUUUAUACAUCUUCAUCUUAUACACAGUCAACUAUGACAAGAGGAAACCAGAGAGAGCUUGCUCGGGCCAAGAAUGCCAAAAAGCAACAGGCAAAAUCUGCUUCUGAGCAUAAAGGAAACAAGGGAAAGUCGCUGGACGAUAGGAAACAAAGAGAUGCUGAUAUAAUGAGAAUGAAACAAGAAAAGGCAGCGGCAAAGAAGGCAGAAGGGGCGGCCGGGACUUCUAAAAAGUAACGUCAGGAUGUGGAAUGUGUUGUGUUCACCUACAUGUAGACUAUUGGAAGUGCCAGCAAUGCUUCAGAACAAUGACCAAGAAAUAGAGGCGCAAUGAGAAAUAUUUUUAUAACCAUGCAUACAUCAAGUAACCUGUUCUGUAUUUUGGAAACAUAAGCAGUGAAUGUUGAUGAAUAACUGAUAUGUACGUGUAGAGUAGAAACAUUGAUCAGUGUUUAUUACAUCACUUUUACAUGUACUUGUACACAUCAUCGUACAUGUAUGUAGAUUUGUUUCAGUCGUUAAGCCUCCAUAUUACAGUGUAUUUGUGUUAUCGAAAAAGGCAAACAUUAUCCACAAAUCUUCCUCUGAGACCUAAAAAUUGGGAGUGUUGCCAUUGGAUUUGGAAAUGCCGAUUAACAAUAUUAUCAGGUGUGUUCUGGGACAUGGACGUUUAAAUGAUUUCCAUGCUUUUAGGAAACCAUUCUGUCAUGAUAUCCCUUGACAUUAAUUUCAGUGAAUGAAUAGGAAAAAACAUGCAAUAAUGUGAAAAGAGGAAAACAAAUCUUGACAGUUUUGUUUCAUUCUUGAAUGACUUCAUGAUUUAAAGAAAGGUUCAAAUUUAGUUCCCAUUUGUACAGAGAUUUUCAUUGUAACUAUUUUUGAUAUCUUUAUUUUACCAUUAAAUCCAUUGAAACAUUUGUACAUGAAUGUUGCAUUUGGCAUUUAUGUGUGACACUAAUAUUGUGUCCAUGACACCAUUUAAUGUCCUUUUUUGAUAUAUUUGAAGCCUGUAGGAAUACUUUACAAAUUUCAGUUGAAUAUCAUUGAUGUCUCCGACAAGGGAUCAUUAACAGAGCUGCCAAAUAGUUUUGACUGGAUGUUGUGGUAUCCACCUAUAAUUCAUGUUACAUAAGUUGCAAAUCGAUGCAGAGUUUUGAGUCCUGGGUCAUAUCUUUUUGACGGUGAACAUGAAAUGUUGGUCCCAGACUCCCA